AAAUAAAUACGUUUAUUGAUCAAUAUUAGCACAAGGUAAGGCAACUGAAAACAAAUUUCAUUAAUUAACCAGAGGGGUUAAUCUUUUUCUUAUCAUUCUUGAAAGAGGAGGUGGUAGCUUUCACUAUUUUUUCAACAACCAUUGCCUUCACUGAUUUCUUAUCGUUUUUUGGAAAGACACUUCCAUUCUUUGAUGUGCCUUCUUUGCCCUUCCCAUUAUUCUCCAUAUCUUUGUUGAUAAUA